rnacentral:rRNA from 1 species
UACGUAGGGUGCAAGCGUUGUCCGGAAUUAUUGGGCGUAAAGAGCUCGUAGGCGGUUUGUCGCGUCUGCUGUGAAAACUCAGGGCUUAACCCUGAGCUUGCAGUGGGUACGGGCAGACUAGAGUGCGGUAGGGGAGACUGGAAUUCCUGGUGUAGCGGUGAAAUGCGCAGAUAUCAGGAGGAACACCGGUGGCGAAGGCGGGUCUCUGGACGACACCUGACACUGAGGCACGAAAGCUAGGGGAGCAAACAGG